AGAGAGGAGAGAGAGGAGAGAGAGAGAGGAGAGAGAGAAUGUAAUCUGGGAGUGAUGGCCAUGUACAUGACUUAGUUCUUUGACUGAAAAAUGCCAAAGACUUUGUUAUCAUUAGAUAUACAGUAGUGUUAAUACAGUGCACUUGUUAUUACUACUACUACUACUAGUACUACUAGUACUACUACUACUACUACUACUACUACUACUACGUAAACACACAGUGAAGUCUUCGUGUCUGGCACUGUCCCAAGCUAUUUGCUAGUAUAUACUUACUUAAUCCUGUUAAUAAACAAACCAAGAGAUUGUUGUUAUUAUCGACAUUGUGCCAGUGAGGAGACAGGCACACACAGGAACAAAACUAGUUAAGGCUGUACAGCUUGCCUCAGAAUCCAGGCAUCCUGGCUGCCCACUGGUCGGCUUACAGAGCAUCCCUUUCAUGGUGCCUCAGAUUUCCAUGGGUGAGCCCUUCGCUUUGGAUAUAACCCAAAUAUCACCCCAUUUUAGAGACAUGAAAAUGGCCAGCCUUGUAGGGCUAAGAACCUGAUUGUUCUCAGUGUUCAGUCUCUUUAUUUACGAAACAAUAACAAAUAGAAAUUCAGGGGUACCAUGGCUCCUAAGCCCCAAACCAGAAGGCUCAUUCUCAGCAUAAAAUGUGGGGCAGGGUACUGAGCCUGACUCACUAGCCACGCUAAGCCACGCUUUGCAGACUGUGGCUCCCCACACAGAUGGCAGAUUCCAGAGCAUGAUUCACGGGAGGCGCUUAGCACACUGUCGUGCUCGUGCUUGGUGUGCAUUACCUGUUGUGUUCGUCACUUUGUUUAUUACUGAGGCUCCAAGAGACAAAUUUGACAUCCAGGGAAACACAUGCUAAAUAAACCCUCAUAUGUAGGGCUCUGGCUGGAAGGGUCCACAGCCUUGAGUUGCCCACUCAGAGCGAACUAGAGGAAGGCUGCUUGAUGUUAUGGGCUGUCAGAUAAGUUGCCGGAUGAGUUUCUAGGUAUGAUGCCACCCCCCAUGCCUUCUUCCAUGACUCGGCUUCUUCCAACACAAGACACAAGUGAUUUUCAAAGUGGCUAUGGCAAAGUUUCUUCCUACCUGUCCCCUCACUGCCUGGAGAUGCUGCGGUUCUUUGUCCAUUUCAUGUAAAUGUUGUCUUUUGUUGUAGUGUGAACAACAGCCCACCUCUCUUUUCUCAGGACCAUUUGUUCCCCUUUGCUAAAAUCUAUUUUCAAAAGCAGUGUCCUUGAAAAAAAAAAAACCUUCCAAACGCAGAAUCUUU
rnacentral:lncRNA from 1 species